UUCUUGUUAUGAUCUGAGCUAUUUAGGGUGUUACCUCGUAACACCCCUAAAAUUCAUAUAUUGAAGUCCUAACCCCCAGUGCCUCAGAAUGUGACUGUAUUUGGAGAUAGCAUAUUUAAAGAGGUAAUUAAGUUAGAAUGAGGUUAUUAGGGUAGGCCCUAAUCUGACUGAUGUCCUUCUAAGAAGAGGAAAUUAGGACACAGAGACAGACACGUGGAAGAAAUGUCAUGUGAAGACAGUGAGAAGACAGCUGUCUAUAAACCAAGAAGAGAGGCUUCAGAAGAAACCCGCCCUGUGAACACUUUAAUCUCAGACUCCUAUUCUUCAGAAUUGUGAGAAAAUAAUUUUCAUUUAAGCUUCCCAGUCUGUGGUAUUUGUCAUGGCCACCCUAGAAAACUAACAUAGUCCUUAAAUAGAUUCAAUAAGUAGCCAGGAGUGGGGACCACUAAUCUAGUGGUUCUCAACCAUCAAGUCACUUGGAGGGUUUGUUAAAGCACACAUUAUUGGAUCCUACCCUCAAGGGGUCUGGCUCAAUAUAUAUCCUGGCCUGACAAUUUGCAUUUCUAUCAAGUUCCCAGUGAUGCUGACAUAGCUGGUUCUAGGACCAUAUUUGCAAAUCACUGCACCAAUUUCUGUGUUGUGGUUGGUUUUUGAGUCUCCAGCUUCACCUCUCAACUCCUGCCACUUUAUGGAACACCCUCAGUGCCCAGGGGUCUCUUGUCCUUGGUCCUGGUUCUCCCUGGGCUGCCUUGAGACUUUGCAGUGUGCCAAUAAGAGGAUGUAUAUGAGACCCUUACUCAUGUACUUUUCUCUUGUGAAGCUAAUCACACUGGACUUUUAAGUCCUUUCUUCCUGACAUUCAGUCUUUGACUCUGAAUUAGCUGAGGCAUGAGAAGUUCACCACAGGAAGGUCCUGCCCUUUGUUUGCUCCUAAAGGUUCCUUUAAAGUUCAACUUGACCAACACACCAUUGCAAGCACUCCAGAGGAGAAGACAGCCUUGCUGUGUCCAAUUCACUUUAGUUUGUAAAUUUCUUGUCAGUCACUUUUAUGGCCCCACUGAAUAGGACAGUGUGAAGCAUGGAUUAAGUAUGCAAUAAAUGGUUGUUGAAUAAAUCAGAAAAUUAAAUGCAUUCUGCACAGAA